UACAGAGGGUGCGAGCGUUGUCCGGAAUCACUGGGCGUAAAGGGCGCGUAGGUGGCGCGACAAGUCAGUGGUGAAAGCUCGACGUUCAACGUCGAGUCGGCCACUGAUACUGUUGGGCUUGAGCACUGUAGAGGCUAAUGGAAUUCCGGGUGUAGCGGUGGAAUGCGUAGAGAUCCGGAAGAACACCGGUGGCGAAGGCGAUUAGCUGGGCAGUUGCUGACACUGAGGCGCGACAGCGUGGGGAGCAAACAGG
rnacentral:rRNA from 1 species